rnacentral:misc_RNA from 1 species
AACGCAUCUUGCACUCCUUGGUAUUCCGAGGAGUAUGCCUGUUUGAGUGUCAUGAACAUUUCAACCUUUUUCUUUUGCUUGAAAGAGGCUUGGAUCUCUGGAGGGUUUGCUGGAGAAGAACAUCUAGUUCAUCAGCUCCUCUGAAACAUAUCAGCAGAGUUUGCACCUGGUGAAAAAUCCUUUGAUAUGGUAAUUAUCAGUAUCAUUGGAAUCUCCAGACUUUCUAAUUGAAAGGACUUUGCUUCCAAUCGUCUUACAAAGACACUUCUUUGAACUUUUGACCUCAAAUCAGGUAGGACUACCCGCUGAACUUAA